rnacentral:rRNA from 1 species
UACGUAGGGGGCUAGCGUUGUCCGGAUUUAUUGGGCGUAAAGAGCGUGUAGGCGGCCAUGUAGGUCUGGUGUGAAAACUCGAGGCUUAACCUCGAGAUGUCAUCGGAAACCAUUUGGCUAGAGUCCGGAAGAGGAAAGUGGAAUUCCUGGUGUAGCGGUGAAAUGCGUAGAUAUCGGGAGGAACACCAGUGGCGAAGGCGGCUUCCUGGCCUGUUCUUGACGCUGAGGCGCGAAAGCUAGGGGAGCAAACGGGG